rnacentral:rRNA from 1 species
UACAGGGGGGGCAAGCGUUGUUCGGAAUUACUGGGCGUAAAGGGCUCGUAGGCGGCCAACUAAGUCGGAUGUGAAAUCCCCAGGCUUAACCUGGGAACUGCAUCCGAUACUGGAUGGCUUGAAUCCGGGAGAGGGAUGCAGAAUUCCAGGGGUAGCGGUGAAAUGCGUAGAUAUCUGGAGGAAUACCGGUGGCGAAGGCGGCAUCCUGGACCAAUAUUGACGCUGAGGAGCGAAAGCCAGGGGAGCAAACGGG